GACGAACGCUGGCGGCGUGCCUAAUACAUGCAAGUCGAGCGGACGGAUGGGAGCUUGCUCCCAGACCGUCAGCGGCGGACGGGUGAGUAACACGUGGGCAACCUGCCUGUAAGACUGGGAUAACUCCGGGAAACCGGGGCUAAUACCGGAUAACUCUUUCCCUCACAUGAGGGAAAGCUGAAAGAUGGCAUCUCGCUAUCACUUACAGAUGGGCCCGCGGCGCAUUAGCUAGUUGGUGAGGUAACGGCUCACCAAGGCGACGAUGCGUAGCCGACCUGAGAGGGUGAUAGGCCACACUGGGACUGAGACACGGCCCAGACUCCUACGGGAGGCAGCAGUAGGGAAUCUUCCGCAAUGGACGAAAGUCUGACGGAGCAACGCCGCGUGAGUGAUGAAGGUUUUCGGAUCGUAAUACUCUGUUGUCAGGGAAGAACAAGUACCGGAGCAACUGCCGGUACCUUGACGGUACCUGACCAGAAAGCCACGGCUAACUACGUG
rnacentral:rRNA from 1 species